rnacentral:rRNA from 1 species
UACAGAGGGUGCAAGCGUUAAUCGGAAUUACUGGGCGUAAAGCGUGCGUAGACGGUUAUGUAAGUCGGGUGUGAAAGCCCCCGGGCUCAACCUGGGAAUGCCAUUCGAGACUGCAUAGCUAGGGUGCGGAAGAGGGAAGCGGAAUUUCCCGGUGUAGCGGUGAAAUGCGUAGAUAUCGGAAGGAACACCAGUGGCGAAAGCCGGCUUCCUGGUCCAGCACCGACGUUCAGGCACGAAAGCGUGGGGAGCAAACAGG